rnacentral:rRNA from 1 species
UACGUAGGGUGCAGGCGUUAAUCGGAAUUACUGGGCGUAAAGCGUGCGCAGGCGGUUUGCUAAGACAGGUGUGAAAUCCCCGGGCUUAACCUGGGAACUGCGCUUGUUACUGGCAGGCUUGAGUGUGGCAGAGGGGGGUGGAAUUCCGCGUGUAGCAGUGAAAUGCGUAGAGAUGCGGAGGAACACCGAUGGCGAAGGCAGCCCCCUGGGUCGACACUGACGCUCAGGCACGAAAGCGUGGGGAGCAAACAGG